GCAGCUUGCUGCAGAGACCGGCCUGCAGGAGUCCAGUCCCUUAUCAGACAGGAGAGCAGAGUGAUGCCAACUGCUUCUGCUGAAAUGAUGCAUCCCAGGCAGAGGAGGGAGGAAGCAGCAGGGCUGAAGUCACGACUGGGAUGUUCAGCAGGCCGGCACACCUGAGAACAGAAGAUGGCCGUCUGCAAACCAGGAAGAGGACCCUCACCAGACAGAUCUGCCAGCACCCUGCUCUGGGACUUCCAGCCUCCAGAUCUGCGAGAAUAAAUGUUUGUUGUUUAAACCACCAGUCUUCAACAAC